AAAGGGUUAGUUAAUUACAUAACAUCAGAAUGUCAAACUGAAAUAAUCAUAAAGAUAUCCUUUU
rnacentral:tRNA from 1 species